UUAGCUAGUUGGCGGAGUAACAGCCCACCAAGGCGAUGAUCAGUAGCUGGUCUGAGAGGACGAACAGCCACACUGGAACUGAGACACGGUCCAGACUCCUACGGGAGGCAGCAGUGAGGAAUUUUGCUCAAUGGGCGCAAGCCUGAAGCAGCGACGCCGCGUGAAUGAUGAAGUCUUUCGGGAUGUAAAGUUCUGUCGACAGGGACAAUAAUGAUGGUACCUGUAGAGGAAGCACCGGCAAACUAUGUGCCAGCAGCCGCGGUAAUACAUAGGGUGCAAGCGUUAUCCGGAUUUACUGGGCGUAAAGCGUAUGUAGGCGGCAUUUUAAGUCAAACUUCAAAUCCCGGGGCUCAACCUCGGUUCGGGUUUGAUACUGGAAUGCUAGAGUUUGGGAGAGGAAAGCGGAACUAACAGUGUAGCGGUGAAAUGCGUAGAUAUUGUUAGGAACACCCGUGGCGAAGGCGGCUUUCUGGAUCAACACUGACGCUGAGAUACGAAAGCGUGGGGAGCAAACAGGAUUAGAUACCCUGGUAGUCCACGCUGUAAACGAUGUACAUUAGGUAUAGGGGGUAUCGACUCCUUCUGUGCCGAAGCUAACGCGUUAAAUGUACCGCCUGGGGAGUACGGUCGCAAGAUUAAAACUCAAAGGAAUUGACGGGGGCCCGCACAAGCAGUGGAUCAUGUGGUUUAAUUCGACGAUACCCGAAAAACCUUACCAAAACUUGACAUCCAGAGAAUUCUGUAGAAGUACAGAAGUGCCCGCAAGGGAGCUCUGAGACAGGUGGUGCAUGGUUGUCGUCAGCUCGUGUCGUGAGAUGUUAGGUUAAGUCCUGCAACGAGCGCAACCCUCGUGUUGUGUUGCUACAUUUAGUUGAGCACUCUCAACAGACUGCCGGUGGUAAACGGGAGGAAGGUGGGGAUGACGUCAAAUCAUCAUGCCCUUUAUGUUUUGGGCUACACACAUGAUACAAUGGCAGGUACAAAGGGAUGCCAAGCCGCAAGGCGGAGCAAAUCUCAUAAAACUUGCCUCAGUUCAGAUUGUGGGCUGCAACUCGCCCGCAUGAAGAUGGAA
rnacentral:rRNA from 1 species